GGUCAAGCGAAUAAGCGCACACGGUGGAUGCCUUGGCGGUCAGAGGCGAUGAAGGACGUGGCAGCCUGCGAAAAGUAUCGGGGAGCUGGCAACAAGCUUUGAUCCGGUAAUGUCCGAAUGGGGAAACCCACCCGCUUGCGGGUAUCCUGCAGUGAAUACAUAGCUGCUGGAAGCGAACCUGGUGAACUGAAAUAUCUAAGUAACCAGAGGAAAAGAAAUCAACCGAGAUUCCGUAAGUAGCGACGAGCGAACGCGGACUAGCCCUUAAGCUGGAUUGGUUCUAGGAAAACGCUCUGGAAAGAGCGGCCAUAGAAGGUGAUAGCCCUGUAUCUGAAAGGGCCAUUCCAGUGAAGACGAGUAGGGCGGGGCACGUGAAACCCUGUCUGAACAUGGGGGGACCAUCCUCCAAGGCUAAAUACUACUGACCGACCGAUAGUGAACCAGUACCGUGAGGGAAAGGCGAAAAGAACCCCGGAGAGGGGAGUGAAAUAGAACCUGAAACCGUGUGCGUACAAGCAGUAGGAGCUCCGCAAGGAGUGACUGCGUACCUUUUGUAUAAUGGGUCAGCGACUUACUGUUCGUGGCAAGCUUAACCGUAUAGGGGAGGCGAAGGGAAACCGAGUCUGAUAAGGGCGCAUAGUCGCGGGCAGUAGACCCGAAACCGGGUGAUCUAGUCAUGCCCAGGGUGAAGGUGCGGUAACACGCACUGGAGGCCCGAACCCACUCCCGUUGCAAAGGUAGGGGAUGAGGUGUGAUUAGGAGUGAAAAGCUAAUCGAACCCGGAGAUAGCUGGUUCUCCUCGAAAGCUAUUUAGGUAGCGCCUCAUAUGUAUCCUCUCGGGGGUAGAGCACUGUUAUGGCUAGGGGGUCAUCGCGACUUACCAAACCAUUGCAAACUCCGAAUACCGAGACGGACUGUAUGGGAGACACACGGCGGGUGCUAACGUCCGUCGUGAAAAGGGAAACAACCCAGACCCACAGCUAAGGUCCCAAAUUCACUGCUAAGUGGAAAACCAUGUGGAAAGGCACAGACAGCCAGGAGGUUGGCUUAGAAGCAGCCACCCUUUAAAGAAAGCGUAAUAGCUCACUGGUCGAGUCGGUCUGCGGGGAAGAUUUAACGGGGCUAAGCAGUGAACCGAAGCUUGGGGUGCAUAACUUUGUUAUGCGCGGUAGAGGAGCGUUCCGUAAGCCGUUGAAGGUGGAUUGAGAAGUCUGCUGGAGGUAUCGGAAGUGCGAAUGCUGACAUGAGUAACGAUAAUGCGGGUGAAAAACCCGCACGCCGAAAGCCCAAGGUUUCCUUGCGCAACGUUAAUCGGCGCAGGGUGAGUCGGCCCCUAAGGCGAGGACGAAAGUCGUAGUCGAUGGGAAGCAGGUUAAUAUUCCUGCACCUCGCGUAAGUGCGAUGGAGGGACGGAGAAGGUUAGGUGUACCAGGCGUUGGUUGUCCUGGGGAAAGGCGGUAGGUUUGGAUCUUUGGCAAAUCCGGGAUCCUUUAAGACCGAGCACCGAGACGAGCCUUUAUGGCGAAGUCACUGAUACCACGCUUCCAGGAAAAGCUCCUAAGCUUCAGCUUACGCAGACCGUACCGUAAACCGACACAGGUGGGUAGGAUGAGAAUUCUCAGGCGCUUGAGAGAACUCGGGUGAAGGAACUAGGCAACAUGGCACCGUAACUUCGGGAGAAGGUGCACCCUUUUUGGUGGCUCGUGCGAGCUAUAGCUGAAGAGGGUCGCAGUAACCAGGCCGCUGCGACUGUUUAUCAAAAACACAGCACUCUGCAAACACGAAAGUGGACGUAUAGGGUGUGACGCCUGCCCGGUGCUGGAAGGUUAAUUGAUGGGGUCAGCCGCAAGGCGAAGCUCUUGAUCGAAGCCCCAGUAAACGGCGGCCGUAACUAUAACGGUCCUAAGGUAGCGAAAUUCCUUGUCGGGUAAGUUCCGACCUGCACGAAUGGCGUAACGACAGCGGCGCUGUCUCCACCCGAGACUCAGUGAAAUUGAAAUCGCUGUGAAGAUGCAGCGUUCCCGUGGCAAGACGGAAAGACCCCGUGAACCUUUACUAUAGCUUUACACUGAACGUUGAGUUCGUCUGUGUAGGAUAGGUGGGAGGCUAUGAAACCAUGGCGCUAGCUGUGGCGGAGCCAUCCUUGAAAUACCACCCUGUCGUGCUUGACGUUCUAACCUGGGCCCAUUAUCUGGGUCGGGGACCGUGUAUGGUGGGUAGUUUGACUGGGGCGGUCUCCUCCUAAAGAGUAACGGAGGAGCUCGAAGGUACGCUCAGCGCGGUCGGACAUCGCGCACUGUGUGCAAAGGCAUAAGCGUGCUUGACUGCAAGAUCGACGGAUCAAGCAGGUAGGAAACUAGGACUUAGUGAUCCGGUGGUUCUGUAUGGAAGGGCCAUCGCUCAACGGAUAAAAGGUACUCCGGGGAUAACAGGCUGAUACCGCCCAAGAGUUCAUAUCGACGGCGGUGUUUGGCACCUCGAUGUCGGCUCAUCACAUCCUGGGGCUGUAGUCGGUCCCAAGGGUAUGGCUGUUCGCCAUUUAAAGUGGUACGCGAGCUGGGUUCAGAACGUCGUGAGACAGUUCGGUCCCUAUCUGCCAUGGGCGUUGGAGAUUUGAGAGGGGCUGCUCCUAGUACGAGAGGACCGGAGUGGACGAACCUCUGGUGUUCCGGUUGUCACGCCAGUGGCAUUGCCGGGUAGCUAUGUUCGGAAGCGAUAACCGCUGAAAGCAUCUAAGCGGGAAGCGCGCCUCAAGAUGAGAUCUCCCGGGGCACAAGCCCCCUGAAGGAACCAUGUAGACUACGUGGUUGAUAGGUCAGGUGUGUAAGUACAGCAAUGUAUUGAGCUAACUGAUACUAAUGAUCCGUGCGGCUUGACCAU
rnacentral:rRNA from 1 species